rnacentral:misc_RNA from 1 species
UACAGCUUUAAUUUCCCUUAUCCAUUUUUAUAUCCACUUUCCAGUAAAGGAUUCAAUUUAUUGAAACAAAGAAAUGUACUUUGUAUGGUAGCUAAUCAUCCUUGCUGUGCUUGUUAAGGAGCAAAUAAAUAUAGGGUUGGUGACGAAAGUAAUCCCAACCAAACCUGAUAAUGAAUUCUCAUCCAACCUUUGAUUUUAAAAUUAAAAUCAAUAAUAAGACUUUGUAGCGACUCUACUUUGAGGGUGUGAUGCCCGAUGCCUCUUAACAUAGGCUUUGAUUCACCUGUGGUCAGAUGACAGAUUUAAUGAGGUCUAGAGAGCAUCAUUGCCACUACAUGUUCACUAUUGCUCACCAAUCCUGAAGGGCCCAAUUUAAGGUGCCUACCUUUUUUGGCCCCCAUCAGUUUUAAGGAACAACCUUAAAGGAAAAAACUCAUUCCUACUGCAGAUCCUCAACCAUUAAUCUAAUAAGUUUGUCUCUAUAAAAAAUCCACACUUCCCUAAACUUGCUUUCCAUGCUCAUCUUUUGAUAUCCACUCCUUAAACAGACGAGAGAUCCAGGAAUUUGAUUCCACGAGUUUCAAAUAUACACACAAAAUCAACUCAUAACACAAUGCCUCUAUUAACCAUUGGUAAUCACACAAAAAGUCUUGCAAAUGCAAUUGUCAGACAGGCUUCUCACCAGGAAGGUAAGAAGGAGAUCCACCUUCAAUUUGGUUCUUCUUACGCUGGAAGAUGCCACUGAGAUUAGGCAGAAGUACUUUCUUGGAAACAGAAGUCUUCUCCUUCUCCAACUUCCGGACCUCAAUAACUUUCUGUGGUGCUGGGUUCUGCUUUUGAAUCCUAUAAUGGUGAGGAGAUGAUUCUAAUGGCAUCUGUGUCUCUGCUAGAAUCCUUGAUGCAGUUUCAGCCACCUUCUUUUGUUCUCGUUCACGCCACCUUCGAAGUUCUCCCUCAACUGCCCUCUUGGCUGCUUCAGCCAUCUCUGCCCUCUUCAAAGCCUCCUGAGUUGCAACCUUCAUAUUCUCAAUCUCCUUCUGCAUUGCCUCAAACCUCUUGAGAGCCUCAUUUUCACUAGCCUUUACAGCUUCUACCUGAGCCAUGGCUGCUGCCACUUUCAUUUCUGCCAAAGUGUCAGACUCCUCAACUUUCCGGCUCAGAGCCUCAUACUCCUCUCUGGAGAUUGUGAUAUUGGCACCAGACUCCGAAGUUGAAGCACGAGCAGCAUUAGUUUUCUCAGACAACAUCUUGAUCUGAUUGAGUGCCCUUGUCUCUGCUGUCUUUGCUUCCUCAGCUUCUUCCAGAGCAACACUCAACUUCUUCUCUGCUUCUUCAAGUUCAAUCCUGGUUGCUUCAGCUUCCUUCUUCAACUCCUCAGCCCUGUGCUUCAUUUCUACAGCUUCUUGUUGCGCAUUCUCUGCUUCUGAUGACAGCUGAUGGAGAGUUGAGAUCAUUUCUUCAGAUGUACCUCUUGCUUUAGAUUCCUCAGCAAGGGCUGCUUCAAGCUCAGCCUUGCUUUUGCGGAGCUUGACAUGCAGGUUCCCAGCAAUGGACUCCGUUUCCGCCUCUUUCUCCUUCAAUUCAGAAUGCUGCUUCUUCACAUUCUCAAGUUCCAGCUUAAGAGAAUCCAACAAACUUCGCAAGGAGCUUUCCUCUUCUGCUACUUUCUGCAAUGACUCCUUAGCACCAUCAAGCUCUGAAGUGACUGUUCUCACUGAAUCAAGAUCGGAAGCCUUAGCAUUUUCCAUCUGCUUUUGCAGAGCAUCGAUCUCAUUCAUUGUUUCAGCCAGUUGCUUUUCAAGAUUCCGGGCAAGUUCAGGAUCAAACUCAUUUUUCAAUGCAAGAAGUUUAUUUGCUGAUGUUUCCAGGGUAGCUUUAUAGGACUGCCUCAGAACAUCCUUCUCGGCAAAUGUUUUUGCUUGCUCUUGCUGGGCUUGCAGAGAUGCUAGCUUCACUUGCCCAAUUGAUUCCUGUAGAGAUGAGAUUUCCCUAGAAAGCUCACUAACUUUUUCCACAUUUGCUUUGACUGCAUGUUCUGCUUCUGCAGCUUGAUUUAAGGCAGCAAGUUUUGCUUCCAAGGAUGCAUCACAUCCCUGUCGAAUCUUCCGGAGUUCUUGCUUUGCAGCAUCAAGUUCAGUAAACACAGUCAUGUACUGUUCCCUGGCAGACUCCAGGUCCUGCUUCCUAGCACCAUCAGAUGCAGAAGUAUCACCACUCUUUGCUGCUUCAAUUUCCUUUGCCUGGCUUUUAGCAGUUUCUGUUUCCUUAAUUGCUGAAUCUUUAGAUUCAGUGACAUUUCCAAGUUUUCGGGUCAGAUCCUCAACUGUUCUUUUAGCCUUUUCAAGUUCAAUGAGUGCUUGCGCUUUAGUUGUUUCUGCAUUCUUCAGUUGAUCCUUUAACUUGUUCAGCUCCUUCUGGGCCAGGUGGAGCUGUGUUUCCUUGGCCAAAACUCUCUCUGCAGAAUGAGGUUUUGCCUUCCUGAUGGCUGGUUUUUCUCCUGAGAAAGUGCCUUCAUCAAAGAGUGUGACAGCAUCUUUAACAGACUGAAAUGGUGCACUGGUGUCAAUCUCUCCCACCUCUACUUUGGGAGAAUCUGUCGCACUUUGACGUUCUUUUGCACCCAUACCAAUUAAUUUAUAUAUAUUCUUAAAUUAUCACCUGUUAAAAACUCAUAAAACAAUAUUCAUUUAUAACAUGCAGGAAAAAAGACAGGUAACAAUCUCAAGCUAGCUACACAUCAAACAUCUACAAAAAUCUCUUGGAAGAUAGAAGUAAAUCACAAUCCAUGUAUAUUCUUUUAUAGAUUUACAGGACAUAUAAAUUAAAGAGCCAAUGCACCUCAUACAAGGCUUCAUGGGAAAACAAAUUGGAGAUAUGCAAUGCAUAUAUAAUCAAAAUCAUCAAAUCACCCAGCACCCUGUUGUAUUUUCAUCAUAUUCCCCACAGACAUUGUCUUCCUUAAUUCAAACAAAAUCCAUAACUCCAUAGAUGCUCCUUCAAAAUGCAAACCACAUGAACUUGAAAACCAAGGGGAAAUCUACAUAUUAUCAACCAUAGCUGCAUUUGACUAAAAUCGCUUUCAAUUUUCUUUUAUGCACCAUCUUUCCCUCUAAACAAUAAUACAACUUCAUAAAACAUGUAAGACCAACACAAUUUGAAUACAAUGAGCCACAAAAUCAAAUCAAGCAUUCACCAGACUCAUAAUUAGAAAUCCUAAUAGAAGCAUGAAUCCAAAAUGCAAGAGAACAAAUAAUAAACAGGACUGGCUGCAAACUUUUAACAACACUAACUUUGAAACUUCUGUUACAAGACAUUAUAAUCACCCACUUGCAAAUGCUAACUGUUACGCAGGUAAUAAACACAUGGGACAGACAUAUCCGGCAAGAACUAGCUUUUAUAUUCUCUAUCUAUCAAUAAUAACCCAGAAUCUUGUCCAAGUCGGCUAUUGGAUAUUUAACAAAGGUGCUUAAUAGUCUUGAAACCUUUUAAGAGCAUGAAAAAAUGAUCAAAAUGAAAAAUUAUCCAAGCAUGCUGCUAUCAGAAUCCUCGCUCCCCAAACCCAACUAAUCUGACUACACAAACAGCUAGGUUCAUAAAGAUCUUAAAACUGUACUAAGUUGUCAGGAACAAGCUUAUAGAUCUUGAGAACUUAUCAGGCCUUUCCAGUUUCCAUGACCUUCAGAGUCAAAUAACCACUGAAUGCACACAACCUAGUCCCACAUCCAAAUAAGGGUGACUAACAACAAAAGCAUCUUUCAACUUUUUAUCAUCUCUACUGCAAUCCAAACCUCACCAUUCUUCCCGUCUAAUGGUCCUACUAUUCUUAAACAAGUUCCAUGCUUCAGCAUUGUUACCAUUGCUAUCUGGCCACAUUUGUCCCUUUUGAUUCUUAAUCUGGCUUUG